GGAACCUGUCACAUAGGACAUUUUAAUAUUUACAAUUAAGAACUAAAUGGUCCAAGGUGGGAUAGAAAACCCAGAUUGGAAUUAAAAAUUUCAAUAACAGGUAAAUGAAUGGAUCUACAAAAAGUCAUCCUGAAGUAAACCAGAAUCCAGAGGACAAAUAUG